CUCCCCCUUCCUAAUUAGCAAGUCUUUUCCCCACAACAAUUAGUGAUUCCUAACAAGGAAGGAGGUGGGCACUUAGAGAGGUAGGGAAGAGCAGGCCACAGACAGAGCCCAGGAGAACGGAACAUGGUCCGGAUCUGAGGAUGUCUUGGCUCCAUUCACACAGGCGGUCCUGGAGGGCAUGAAGAUAGUGCUUGGUUUUAGGCCAAGCUAUUCAGCCCAGGUCUUAGGAAAAUUGGUUCAUGAGCCAUUUAGCUUUCCUCUUGCAGAGACACAAAGUACAACUCCAGUUGAGGUCACUCUCUUGGGACCUCACGAAUUUAGUGAAGGAACUGGGCCUGGGAGGGCCUGUAAGUGCCGUUGCUGAUUAGAGAACCAAGUCGCCUUAGACCUGGCCCUGAGGUGGGGCUGGGGCAAAGCCCUGCUUGCAGGGGACGGACUCAUGGCUUCCUGCCAGCUUUCUGCCAGCUGACUGGCAAACAUCGAAUGUUCUGGGUAACUGUCGAAUCUGGGGUUUGAAAUGAAUAAAAUGCAGAAAGGCUGCAAGUAACUUUGGUAGAGAGAGCUCCUUUGACUAAAUACUUGGUAUUUUGGAAGUAACUGGUCUGAUGGGACCAGCACUCCCCUCUCUGCACACUGUCCUCACUGGACAGUGUCUCCCCGGCUCCAGACCCUGGUGUAGCCCCAGUCGCUGGGACCAGUGCUACUGGACUUCCUGCCUUGCUGCCUCGCUGCCUCGCUCUGGACGGAGCACACUGGACUGUCUGCGGGGGUGGUCGCAAGCUCAGGCUCCAGUGUCUUGACUUUACAGCUCAACACAGAGCAGGAUUGUUUUCAAUUCACAUCUUUUUCUUGAGCUCCACCUAGCAUGGCAGAAAGCCAGGAAAGGCCCGCAGAGAACAGAAUUUGUCCUUCUCAAUUUUCAGUGGAGAAUGGGACCCAAAGUUGCCAAAGGCUGGAGGUUAAGGGCGAGCCUGCUGCAGGCCAGUAGUUGUGUUGGACGCAAGGGGGUUUGCGUGAGACCCAGCCAUGCGUUUCAGCCUCUCGCAGUUCAGCUGCGAACCCUAGAGGGAAACGUGAGGGGAUGACCAAGCCCCCACUGCUGUGAGUGGCCGCAGAACGUCUUUCAUUGAGAGUCGAGUCCUCCUGUCCUUGACCAUCUGUGACAUUUCUGCGACACGCCCUGCUCCUCUGUCCUGGGCCAGCUCUUAGUUGUGAGAGCUGUGUUGGCCAAGCAGAGCUGGAAUUUAGGGGAACAGCUCUCUCGUGUGGAUGGAGAUGCUCUCCUUGAUAAUGACAUGUCCACGCCAUGACUUCUCUGCUGAAUGCCGGUACGUCUUUUCAGCCCUACUGCAUAGAGGGGCUCCCAGUGGGGUUUCCACGGAGUGGGGGCGGGGGCAAGCUGUCUAGAAUGUGGCAAGAAAGAGCUGGUGCCUUUCCUUCAGCCUGUCAUGCGACCUAUUCCCAAUUUUCUCAAUUCCAGAUUUCUCCCCUGGAUGCAAGUCAUUUCCUGACUCUUAAGGAGGUGUGUCAGCGCCUUGCCCCUUGUCCAGCUCAGUAUUGGUCAAGUAAAGCUUGUAAUUUGGGGCAAUGUUCACUCUCCAGUGGCGGAGGCUCCCCCUGACUGUAUGUGUCUGGUUCCAGCCCUAGCCAUCCUUUCUCCCCACAGGAAAGUUGGAGGCUGCCUCAUGUUGGACCAGGGGUCUGCACAAAUUACAUCUUGGGACCCAGGUAAACUAGAGUUAGAAGCCAUCUCUGUGCAGAGCCACCUACGUGCCCCCUACUUACCCGAGACCCGAUCUCACCUGUGGCUGCGCUCCCACCCCGCAAGGCAGGCCCCAGAUGACUCUUGCAAGGCCUGAACUUGUAUUUCUGGCUCAGGCUGGCUGGGGCAGGGGUUUCCUGGGCUGACACUCUUUGGUAGUUACAGCAAUGGCCCAUCGUUCUCUGAAAACUUGCCCAUGUAGGGGAGAAAUCCACAAAUUUGGGAUCUGAACUUGGCAGGGUCCCAUAUGUCCCCCAGCCCCUCAGAGAGGGCCGGUCUGAUAACAGUGCAAGGUAAGUCACACACUGACGCAUGAUAGCAACCUGUACAGUCGUGGGGGGCCGCUAGGAGCUGUGGCUUGGGAGGGGGUUUCUCCAAGAGAGAGGGGCUACCAACCGGAGGUUAGGCUCCAGCUCCCAGAGGAGUAUGAGAUGCGGGAGGAGUCCUAGUCCGAACGGGCUGUUGUAACAAACAUACCACAGACCGGGUGGCUAACGAAUGACAGAAAUCCAUUUCUCAUAGUCCUGGAGACGGAGAAGCCCAAGAUCAAGGCACGGUGGGUUCUGUGUCUGGUGAGGGUCUGUGUCCUGGUCAUGGAUGGCCGUCUUCUCAUGCGGAAGGGGCAGCGGGAUCUCUUUUAUCAGGCAUGGAUCCCCUUCCUGGGGGCCUCCCCCCUAGGUCCUGCUCCCCCCCCAACCGCCCCAUCUCCGAACACCAUCACCUUCAGCAUUGAGUUUCAACAUAGGAAUUUUGGAGGGGACACAAACAGCUCACCACAGAACGGACCAGCCGUAGGGGGACCCCCUCGUGGACCAGAGAGCCACGCACCCUGCCCAGAGAAGAAAGAGCUACAAAUAAACGCCAUAGCGUUCAUUCCCCUGACAUCGGAUGGAUUUGCAAAUCUGGGAUGCAAAUCCCAGAGACCAUAUAGUUUCAUCUGUUGAAUUCUUGGGGAGCAGUCUCUGAGACAGAGACUAGCAUGCAAAGUGUUUAUUAAAGAGUGAUCCUUGGAUGAACCCCUGUGGAAGAGACAAGAAUGAAAUGGGAUGGACAGAAGGACAAAUUGAACAACUUCAACGAAUUCUCCUGCCAAACCCAUGGUGAGCUCUGGAGCCGGGAUGGGGUAAUGGACGGGCCCCUCUUGCCUCAUGUUAACCUGUCAUUGGAUGUGGGCUGCUUGGAAAGAGGCGUGACCUUGGAUGAAGCAGUUUCUUCUGCUGUGGCAAACCCACAUGAGGCUUCAUAGCUGAGGGCCAUCUUCUGAGGGCACGUGCAGUAGGUGGGGGUUUUCAUUUCUGAAGGAAAGUGGGUGAUAUGUCACAGCACCCACCUUUGUCUCUUAUCCCUCUGUAAGAUCUGCCUUCAGGAUUUUGUCUGUUAUGUAUUCUACCUACAACCGUCUUUCUAUCAUCUAUGGGUUUUUUGAUCUGUAUUUGAGAUACUAGAUAUUGUUGGGAAUUAAAAAUUAUGUUUCUGUAUAUCCUACUUUGGCUCACUUAAUGCUCUUUGGUCUGAAUUCUACCUAACUAGAUAUCAAGAUGGCAACUCAUGAUUUCUUUUUUAUUUGCAUUUGCUUGUUCUUUUAAAUGCUUUUAAUUUUUUCUGACCAUUUAUUUUUAACAUUUCUGAAUCUCUUUGUGUUAGGAGUAUCCCUGAUACAUAACGUGAUAUGAGAUUUUGUCAUUCAAGCCAAUCUGAAUAUUUCUUUCUUUUAAUAGCUGAGUGAAGCCCCAUUGUAUCUAUCAAUGCAAUUGGUAUGCUUGGCU